GCAGCCAUGUUCAUCCUGGGCCAAACAUCUGAUUUAAAUUCAAAUUCAAACAGAUGUUGAGGUGGCCUCCUCCUCUGCUGCUCUUCUCGGGUAAAGGAGAGGACGACUGGAUCACAGCUUUGGGUGGAGGGAGGGAGCGGUGGCUCUGUGCUCUCAGACUUCAUCCUUCCUUGUUUUCCUGCUACAGUUACCACUUUCCCAACGGAGGUCAAUAAAAAGAUGUGGGAUCACAUUGUUAGCAUCCAGCAUGUCAGGGACUGAGCAACUUGCCUGAUACUGAAGGCCUUCAGACAGGGAGAGACAGAAGACAAGUCCCCCCAGGAUACACAGCACAGAUCCAGCCCAGCCGAUGAAGAGAGCUGCUCCCAGCUCAAACCUGCAAGGGCGAGGAUGGCACCAAAAAACCCCAGACAAACAGAGGAGAUCAUCAAACCCCGACACACCUGAAUGUAGGCUUCACGCCAGAGAGAGGGAAGAGGGAUUCAUCUUGGGACCCUUUGGAGUGUCCCAACCCCAGGUUUGGGAACCGCUGCUUCAAGCCAGAGGUUUGGAGGAAAAGGGUUGGACCAGAAGGUGGCCGUGGUGAUGACCGUCCCAUCCACGGAGGACACCUUCCAGUAGUCCGUCGGCAGGGUGGACGACACCAAGAUCCACCCAGAG